AACGCGAAGAACCUUACCUGGUCUUGACAUCCACAGAACUUUCCAGAGAUGGAUUGGUGCCUUCGGGAACUCUGAGACAGGUGCUGCAUGGCUGUCGUCAGCUCGUGUUGUGAAAUGUUGGGUUAAGUCCCGCAACGAGCGCAACCCUUAUCCUUUGUUGCCAGCGGUUAGGCCGGGAACUCAAAGGAGACUGCCAGUGAUAAACUGGAGGAAGGUGGGGAUGACGUCAAGUCAUCAUGGCCCUUACGAGUAGGGCUACACACGUGCUACAAUGGCGCAUACAAAGAGAAGCGACCUCGCGAGAGCAAGCGGACCUCAUAAAGUGCGUCGUAGUCCGGAUUGGAGUCUGCAACUCGACUCCAUGAAGUCGGAAUCGCUAGUAAUCGUAGAUCAGAAUGCUACGGUGAAUACGUUCCCGGGUCUUGUACACACCG
rnacentral:rRNA from 1 species